UGCCAGCAGCCGCGGUAAUACGAAAGGUGCAAGCGUUACUCGGAAUCACUGGGCGUAAAGCGCACGUAGGCGGAUUGACAAGUCAAUUGUGAAAGCCCUGGGCUCAACCCAGGAACAGCAGUUGAAACUGUCUUUCUUGAAUAUCUGAGAGGGUGGGGGAAUACCUAGUGGAGAAGUGAAAUUCGUAGAUAUCGGGAGGAACACCUGUGGCGAAGGCGGCCCCCUGGUUGGAUACUGACGCUGAGACGCGAAAGCGUGGGGAGCAAACAGGAUUAGAUA
rnacentral:rRNA from 1 species